GCCGAUCUUCAGGCGGCGAGUCCCACAGGUGUUCGCGGUCCCUGCGCGGUCGCGUUCCGGGCUCGAUCCCGCCGCGCACACGACGCCAGCGUCGCAGACGGCGGCGGCGGGCGUCGCGUGGCAGCGCUCGCUACUACAGCGAGUCCCAUUCAUCGGAGCAAACCCUCUAUCACAUUAGACACAUUAAGAAGCUAAUUGCCCCCCUUGGGUGGGACUGCUCAUUAUUUGAGCCAGUGCACAGGAUUCAGUGGAGCAGCAGGAGGAACGGAGGCCAGGGCGGGCGGACACGCGCAAGCAGAGCCGGAACCCCCUCCAUUAUGUAUGAGUCGAGGGCCAACAUGACAUCAACAGCAUCCAAGGCAAGAAUAGUGGAUGUGAAGCCGGGUAAUGAUGUCCUCCUGCAAACCCCCAAAACUAAACGAGAGAAGAGACAGAUGGGCCUCACUGAGUUUGGUCUCAGAAGGCACUGCAGGUCUGGCCUCCGUCUACAUAACAAUGGUGGUUUUUACAUUCACUCAUUGAUGUUUUUUGUGAUCUUGAGGAACUUUACUCCCGGGAUGCGCACAUCUUUCCCACUCAAAGACAAAACCGCAGAGAGCCAAAGUGGUGAUGGGCCAUCGCCGGGCAGAUUUGGAGCCGCUCCACUGAUGGGACAUCAGGCUGCCGGCGCUAACACCAAGCAGCGUUGUUCCAAGGUGACUUUGCGGGCAGGUUAUUUGGCCGGUAACAGCUUUGACAUUAAAUAAAGCAAUUUGGACACGACACAUCCAUGAAGCUCGGUGAUUUCUGGGACUAAUUAAUAGUUUUCCACCGAUAAAGGAUCCAGUGACAGCGUUUCUUUUGAAAGGUGAGAUAAUUAUCACCCGGCUGAAAGUGUUGGCGCCCUGUGUAAAAACAGGAAAACCACCUCCUCCCCCGACAUUCAUCUUUUAAAAUGUUUAAACUCACUGCAACGGAGCUGAAGUUGAAGCAAACCCGAAGAGAUUCCACAUUUGAAUCUCAUCAGCAGACGCGCUGCGCCUCCCUCCCUGCUCCAGCCGGCCCGUGUUUACGAAACCAGGCCGGCUACAGGCGCCUGAGCCCAACGCGACCUUGCCCGCGGCGCCGCACGCGUCCGACCCGGCCCCCGUGAUCCCCGGCGCGUGCUCCCUCCGCUCACCUGGCGAGCGCCUCCUCCGGGGAGGUGACGGGGGUCACGAAUGGAGGAUGGUGGGCAGCCCCCACCCCCCCCCACCCCUCACAAACACACACCCUCCAGGGAGGCGCUAUGACAACCUGACACCAUCAUCAUCAUAAUCAUCGCAUCUUCAUCUGCGGGGCCACCGUGUGCGUAACCAUGGCGACCAGCGGGGCGCGAGGGGCCGACGCUCCCUGGAGGUUGGUGCAGAGCCUGGAUCAGACGCCUGGGCUGCAGCGGAGGCUUCACCGGACGGGGCUGCCUGGAUUAUUCCACAGCCGAUACAGUGCGGAGGGAUGCAAUCAAUUAAUAUGGGGACAGAACAGGUUAUAAUUUGCGGGUAGAUUUUUCCAGUCUGUAAAUGACACUUUCACAAUGUUGCUCAGUUUGUUCCAAACACUGUAAAUUGCAAUUACAAAGGCAGCGACACAAGAGACUCAUUAAGUAUUCAUUUAUGUUACUAAUUAAAGACUAUACUGUAUAUUUGUUGAUUAUAAAGCUCACACAUGUUGAUGUUUUAAUUACUUGUUAAUUUAUGGAAAUAAGGAUUUGACAUUUAUUUAAAUGCAUUUCACUGCUGUACAUGUGCGUUUUCUUUCCCCAGUUUUUGUUUUCCGUCUAAUUAGUGGUUCCUGAACACUGAACUGAAGACAAUGAGCUUAAAUCUGUUGAAUUUGUUUGUUCAUUCAUCACAUCAUUCAUCAUUUUCUUUCUGUCUUGCUUUGUGAAUAAUAAAAACAAAUCUAGCAUCUG